UCAUUAGACUCUUUCCUUGUACCCCUCC
rnacentral:piRNA from 1 species